GACACGGUCCAAACUCCUACGGGAGGCAGCAGUGAGGAAUAUUGGUCAAUGGGCGAGAGCCUGAACCAGCCAAGUAGCGUGAAGGAUGACUGCCCUAUGGGUUGUAAACUUCUUUUAUAAAGGAAUAAAGUCGGGUAUGUAUACCCGUUUGCAUGUACUUUAUGAAUAAGGAUCGGCUAACUCCGUGCCAGCAGCCGCGGUAAUACGGAGGAUCCGAGCGUUAUCCGGAUUUAUUGGGUUUAAAGGGAGCGUAGAUGGGUUGUUAAGUCAGUUGUGAAAGUUUGCGGCUCAACCGUAAAAUUGCAGUUGAUACUGGAUAUCUUGAGUGCAGUUGAGGCAGGCGGAAUUCGUGGUGUAGCGGUGAAAUGCUUAGAUAUCACGAAGAACUCCGAUUGCGAAGGCAGCUUACUGGACUGUAACUGACGCUGAUGCUCGAAAGUGUGGGUAUCAAACAGGAUUAGAUACCCUGGUAGUCCACACGGUAAACGAUGAAUACUCGCUGUUUGCGAUAUACUGCAAGCGGCCAAGCGAAAGCGUUAAGUAUUCCACCUGGGGAGUACGCCGGCAACGGUGAAACUCAAAGGAAUUGACGGGGGCCCGCACAAGCGGAGGAACAUGUGGUUUAAUUCGAUGAUACGCGAGGAACCUUACCCGGGCUUAAAUUGCAGAUGAAUUACGGUGAAAGCCGUAAGCCGCAAGGCAUCUGUGAAGGUGCUGCAUGGUUGUCGUCAGCUCGUGCCGUGAGGUGUCGGCUUAAGUGCCAUAACGAGCGCAACCCUUGUUGUCAGUUACUAACAGGUUCCGCUGAGGACUCUGACAAGACUGCCAUCGUAAGAUGUGAGGAAGGUGGGGAUGACGUCAAAUCAGCACGGCCCUUACGUCCGGGGCUACACACGUGUUACAAUGGGGGGUACAGAGGGCCGCUACCACGCGAGUGGAUGCCAAUCCCAAAAACCUCUCUCAGUUCGGACUGGAGUCUGCAACCCGACUCCACGAAGCUGGAUUCGCUAGUAAUCGCGCAUCAGCCACGGCGCGGUGAAUACGUUCCCGGGCCUUGUACACACCGCCCGUCAAGCCAUGAAAGCCGGGGGUACCUGAAGUGCGUAACCGCAAGGAGCGCCCUAGGGUAAAACUGGUGACUGGGGCUAAGUCGUAACAAGGUAGCCGUACCGGAAGGUGCGGCUG
rnacentral:rRNA from 1 species